rnacentral:rRNA from 1 species
UACAGAGGGUGCGAGCGUUAAUCGGAGUUACUGGGCGUAAAGGGCGCGUAGGCGGUUUGGGAAGUAAGAGGUGAAAUCCCCGGGCUCAACCUGGGAACAGCCUCUUAGACUAUCAGACUGGAGUGCAGUAGAGGGUGGUGGAAUUUCCGGUGUAGCGGUGAAAUGCGUAGAGAUCGGAAGGAACAUCAGUGGCGAAGGCGACCACCUGGACUGAGACUGACGCUGAGGCGCGAGAGCGUGGGGAGCAAACAGG